AGCGAACGCUGGCGGCAGGCCUAACACAUGCAAGUCGAACGGAUCCUUCGGGAUUAGUGGCGGACGGGUGAGUAACACGUGGGAACGUGCCCUUUGGUUCGGAACAACUCAGGGAAACUUGAGCUAAUACCGGAUGUGCCCUUCGGGGGAAAGAUUUAUCGCCAUUGGAGCGGCCCGCGUCUGAUUAGCGUGUUGGUGAGGUAAAGGCUCACCAAGGCGAAGAUCAGUAGCUGGUCUGAGAGGAUGAUCAGCCACAUUGGGACUGAGACACGGCCCAAACUCCGACGGGAGGCAGCAGUGGGGAAUCUUGCGCAAUGGGCGAAAGCCUGACGCAGCCAUGCCGCGUGAAUGAUGAAGGUCUUAGGAUUGUAAAAUUCUUUCACCGGGGACGAUAAUGACGGUACCCGGAGAAGAAGCCCCGGCUAACUUCGUGCCAGCAGCCGCCGUAAAAC
rnacentral:rRNA from 1 species